AGUUAACGUAGCAUAAUCUGGCAUUGCAAAAGACCUAAACCCUUUCUAUAGAGAAUCAAAUCCUCUCGUUAACU
rnacentral:tRNA from 1 species